rnacentral:rRNA from 1 species
GAUGAACGCUGGCGGCGUGCCUAAUACAUGCAAGUCGAGCGAACGGACGAGAAGCUUGCUUCUCUGAUGUUAGCGGCGGACGGGUGAGUAACACGUGGAUAACCUACCUAUAAGACUGGGAUAACUUCGGGAAACCGGAGCUAAUACCGGAUAAUAUUUUGAACCGCAUGGUUCAAAAGUGAAAGACGGUCUUGCUGUCACUUAUAGAUGGAUCCGCGCUGCAUUAGCUAGUUGGUAAGGUAACGGCUUACCAAGGCAACGAUGCAUAGCCGACCUGAGAGGGUGAUCGGCCACACUGGAACUGAGACACGGUCCAGACUCCUACGGGAGGCAGCAGUAGGGAAUCUUCCGCAAUGGGCGAAAGCCUGACGGAGCAACGCCGCGUGAGUGAUGAAGGUCUUCGGAUCGUAAAACUCUGUUAUUAGGGAAGAACAUAUGUGUAAGUAACUGUGCACAUCUUGACGGUACCUAAUCAGAAAGCCACGGCUAACUACGUGCCAGCAGCCGCGGUAAUACGUAGGUGGCAAGCGUUAUCCGGAAUUAUUGGGCGUAAAGCGCGCGUAGGCGGUUUUUUAAGUCUGAUGCGAAAGCCCACGGCUCAACCGUGGAGGGUCAUUGGAAACUGGAAAACUUGAGUGCAGAAGAGGAAAGUGGAAUUCCAUGUGUAGCGGUGAAAUGCGCAGAGAUAUGGAGGAACACCAGUGGCGAAGGCGACUUUCUGGUCUGUAACUGACGCUGAUGUGCGAAAGCGUGGGGAUCAAACAGGAUUAGAUACCCUGGUAGUCCACGCCGUAAACGAUGAGUGCUAAGUGUUAGGGGGUUUCCGCCCCUUAGUGCUGCAGCUAACGCAUUAAGCACUCCGCCUGGGGAGUACGACCGCAAGGUUGAAACUCAAAGGAAUUGACGGGGACCCGCACAAGCGGUGGAGCAUGUGGUUUAAUUCGAAGCAACGCGAAGAACCUUACCAAAUCUUGACAUCCUUUGACAACUCUAGAGAUAGAGCCUUCCCCUUCGGGGGACAAAGUGACAGGUGGCGCAUGGUUGUCGUCAGCUCGUGUCGUGAGAUGUUGGGUUAAGUCCCGCAACGAGCGCAACCCUUAAGCUUAGUUGCCAUCAUUAAGUUGGGCACUCUAAGUUGGCUGCCGGUGACAAACCGGAGGAAGGUGGGGAUGACGUCAAAUCAUCAUGCCCCUUAUGAUUUGGGCUACACACGUGCUACAAUGGACAAUACAAAGGGCAGCGAAACCGCGAGGUCAAGCAAAUCCCAUAAAGUUGUUCUCAGUUCGGAUUGUAGUCUGCAACUCGACUACAUGAAGCUGGAAUCGCUAGUAAUCGUAGAUCAGCAUGCUACGGUGAAUACGUUCCCGGGUCU